GAAGGGGUUAACUAGAUAAAUGCUUUAUUUUCUAAUUUUAAAUAACUUAUUUUUUAAGUAAAAAAACUUAAAUUAUCUAAAGGGACGAAAAGACCCUAAAAUCUUGUUGAUACGGUUUUUAAAGAGUGUUAUCAGUUUAAUUGGGGUGAUUAAAAUUUUUAACAAUUUAAAUUUUUACACUUUGGGUGAGGUUGAAAAGCUUUAUGACAUAAAAAAAAGUUACUUUAGGGAUAACAGCGUAAUGAUUUCGUAGAGUUCUUAUCGAUGAAAUAGUUUGCGACCUCGAUGUUGAAUUAAACAUCUCGACUUAGUAGUAGAAGACAGAAGUAAGUCUGUUCGACUUUUAAUUGUUUACAUGAUCUGAGUUCAAACCGGA
rnacentral:rRNA from 1 species